GACGAACCGAGCGAACGUUGUUCGGAAUAACUGGGCUUAAAGGGCGCGUAGGCGGGCCGCCAAGUUCGAGGUGAAAUCCUCCGGCUCAACCGGAGAACUGCCUCGAAUACUGGAGGCCUCGAGGCGGGUAGGGGCGUGCGGAACUGUGGGUGGAGCGGUGAAAUGCGUUGAUAUCCACAGGAACUCCGGUGGCGAAGGGGGCACGCUGGACCCGAUCUGACGCUGAGGCGCGAAAGCCAGGGGAGCAAACGGG
rnacentral:rRNA from 1 species